rnacentral:rRNA from 1 species
CAAANACAUGNCCUUUGAAUUUAAUAUAAGGUCUNACCUGCCCAGUGAUAAAUUUAACGGCCGCGGUAUACUNNCCGUGCANNGGNNGCAUANUCAUUAGUCUUUUAAUAGAGGGNGGGAAUGAAAGGUUUAACGAAAAACUGACUGUCUCAUUUUAUUUGUUUNAAAAAUUAAUUUUUUAGUUAAAAAGCUAAAAUUUUAUUGGUAGNCGAGAAGNCCCUAUAGAGCUUCNNCAUAUGAUUAAAUAAAUAUUUUUAUAUUAAUAUUUUUAUUUAUUUUUGUGUUUUGUUGGGGUGACAAAAANAUAUAACUAACUUUUUUAUUUACUUUACAUUGAUUUAUGAAUAUUAGNUCCAAUCUUAUUGAUUAUUAGACUAAGUUACCUUAGGGAUAACAGCGUAAUCCUCCUCCAGAGUUCAUAUUUACAGGAUGGGCUUGCGACCNCGAUGUUGGAGGAAGAUAANA